UACGAAGGGGGCGAGCGUUGUUCGGAUUUACUGGGCGUAAAGGGCGCGCAGGCGGCGCAUUUUGUCAGGCGUGAAAGCCCCGGGCUUAACCUGGGAACUGCGUUUGAUACGGAUGGGCUAGAGUUCGGGAGAGGAGAGUGGAAUUCCCAGUGUAGAGGUGAAAUUCGUAGAUAUUGGGAAGAACACCGGUGGCGAAGGCGGCAUCCUGGACCGGCAUUGACGCUGAGGAGCGAAAGCCAGGGGAGCAAACGGG
rnacentral:rRNA from 1 species